UACGAGGGGGGCAAGCGUUGUUCGGAAUUAUUGGGCGUAAAGGGUGCGUAGGCGGUCUGACAAGUCUGAUGUGAAAUCUAUGGGCUCAACCCAUAGUCUGCAUCGGAAACUGUCGGGCUUGAGUAUGGGAGAGGUGAGUGGAAUUUCCGGUGUAGCGGUGAAAUGCGCAGAUAUCGGGAAGAACACCCGUGGCGAAGGCGGCUCUCUGGGACGGUACUGGCGCUGAGACGCGAAAGCGUGGGGAGCGAACAGG
rnacentral:rRNA from 1 species